UAGGCUGCAACUCGCCUACAUGAAGUUGGAAUCGCUAGUAAUCGCGAAUCAGAAUGUCGCGGUGAAUACGUUCCCGGGUCUUGUACACACCGCCCGUCACACCACGAGAGUUUACAACACCCGAAGUCAGUGGCCUAACCGCAAGGAGGGGAGCUGCCUAAGGGUGGGGUAGAUGAUUGGGGUGAAGUCGUAACAAGGUAGC
rnacentral:rRNA from 1 species